AGACGUCACUUGUGGAAGGGAGACACCACAUUUCUCAAGUUAGCUCGUUCCAGACCUUAAGCAAAGUACCAUUACUUAGACACUAAGCAAUAACUUGACUUGAAACGAAUAUCAAUCUGAAGGUGUUUUGGGGAGAUUGGAGUGAUUUUACCAGCACUGAACACCAAAUCAACCCCCACCCCCAAAUCUAAGCUGUUGUGUUGGGAUUCUCCUCCUCCAAAUCAACAUCCCACCCGCAAAUCGAACCAAAUCACAAAAAUCAAACCCAAAAUCCUUCAAUUUGAAGCAACUAUCAUAACUCCUCCUCCAUUGUUCGAUCUGGUCCACCAAGAGAGGAAGGUGGUUUGUAUGAGUAGUAAAGAUGAUGCGGUGAAAGAGGCCCUUAUAGUUGAUGCUCAGGCAAGAAACAUCAGUCACGAUAUAAGGUGCACCGAGUGUUGUAGUCAAUCCAUUGAAGAUUCUCCAGAAGACAUGUCAAUCAUCUCAGGAAGGCCAUGGGAUCUCUGAUCUAUUUUGCAUCUUGGGGUGGCAUUCUCAAAGGUGCUUUGUGGGCUUCAGGAAGCAUAUGAAGCUCAUAGGAAACAACAACAUCGAUGUCAUUCUGGUCCUAUGCAACUCUUUUUGUUUGUGCCUUCCAGCCAUCUUAACUUCUAACAUUGCAUUCUCGAAGAAAGCAAACUUUAUAUUUCUAUUCUUUCUGCUUAGAAAGUCUAGAGUUUUUGUAGAAAAUAUCAUAUCAAAGAAAAUUAGUCAAGAGAACCUGAGCUUUGUUUGUCUACUAUCAUCUCUGUUGAGACAAAUUAAGUAGAACUCAUGCCAACUUGAAGGAGCCUGAAGAGGCUAUGUUAAAAUAAUACUUGGGAGAAGUUCAGGAGAAUACUUGUUGGGAGAAGUUGCGGAUGAUACUUGUUGAAGGAGAAGUCCUACUAAUAUUUGAUUAAGUGAAAAUCUUGGUGAAAGGUGAAGGAUUGAACAUGACACUGGAUUUCAGGUGAACCAAGAUAAAUCUUUGUGUGCUUAUAUUUCUAUCUUUCUCUAAAUUUUUCUCACAAGAUCUAUUUGCUGCAUUUAUCAAGAAACAAUGCAUGAAGAAACUUUGAAAUAGAGUUUUUAAGUUGCCAACCACGAAAAAAUUUUACAGACACAAUUCAACCCCCUUCUCUUAUGCCUCAGUUAUUAACUUCAGUUUUUAAAUACUUUUGUGGAACUCCUCAAACGAGGAGUUACUGCUACUAUUAUUGCUACCACUACUGCUACUACCACUGCGACUAUUGGCACUACUACUGCCACUGCUGCGGGAUUUGGGUUUACCACCCCACCUAUUGGGUUUGGCACCCCACUUUAUUCAAUACGGGAAUUAAAUUUCCGUUUUCAAAACGGAAUUUAAAAUUCCGAUUUUUUUUUAUAUGCAAUGAAUGGUUGAAAAUGUGCCACAUAUGCUAAAACACAGAACGGUUUUUUAAUUUUCGUUUUUUUCGUAUUAAAUUCGGAAUUUUAAUUCCCGUUUUUAAUAAAGUGGGGUGCGAACCCCAAUAGGUGGGGUGCCAAACCUAAUUCCCCACUGCUGCUGCCACUGCUGUCACUGACACUGCUACUGCCACUAGUGGUCAUGAAUCCCAUUAGUCACCAAAAUUUCUUUGUGAUGUCUCGCUCCAAGUCUUGAAUUAUGUUGUUUAUUAAAUUGAAUAAAUUGGUUCACCACAGUGGUAAGGUAUGUCUCCAUAAAUGAUAGUUUUGAUUGAGAUAAGACUCUUGCAAUUGAAUUAGUGCUUGAAUGUUUUCCCAAAGAUCCAAAGACUCCAUCUUGACAACUUAGAUGUGGUAGUUUUCUACAUUAAUGACUAGGGCUGAAACUUGUGAGAAAUUUGAUUCAGAAUCCAUUUUCCAAAAUUCGGAAGAUUAUGGCUUUAGAUGCCAAUUGUUAGUUUUUCUUAAACGCGAAGAAAAAAGAUAGCAGAAGAAACUAAGAAAUUACACCCAAACUUGAAGCAAUAAAACCCAAUCAACUAGCCAAAGAAAAAUAGAAAAACCACCAAAAUUCAAGCAAAGUACUCAAAGACAAAAUGAGCUCGACCAAGAAAAAAUCCGAAAUAAAUAAAAGCACCAAGCAACAACAGGACUAAGAAUUCAUGAGAGAAAGAAAUUAUACAUGCUCCAUGAUCUCAACAUUAUACAUGCCUUUCGUCUCGAGUCACAUUCUUUCUCUGCCUCUAGCAGCAGCAACCCUAGUAACAUCAUCAUCAACCUCAGCAAACCCUAACUUGGCUAAAUCCUCAAUGAUAUCCUUAUUAAAACUUAGUUUUUCUAAAGCAUCAUAUGUUUCGACUUGACCAUCAUCAUGUUGUGCUUCAGAAUGUCCUAAUUCAUUCGAAUGUGGCACUGUUACAGCAAUUUGUUGGGGCACGAAAUCAACCCCAGGAGAAGGAACACAAUACCGUACCUGUGGUGACAGAACCAUAAAAAAUAGGCUCUGAAUCAAAGGCAAUGGACUUUCAUUAGCAUCAGCAUAAGGAAAAUCAGCAUUUUCAAUGCAAGCCAUGACCACGAUGACCUCAUCUGCGAGGAGGCUAAGAUAAGUUGUCGACCAUUUGAGAAGGCUUUCCACAACUUUAAGGUGACUCUUCCUUUCAACCCACUAGAUGAAGGCCAUGAUAUGUGUGGAUUGACUGGUUUCAAGAUCAAGUUCUACCACCAAGCGUGAGAAUAGUUGGCGGUCGAUGUUGUGAGAAGGGAGGAACUCAUCUUUGGUUAUAGUCACAUUGGUUCUUGAAUCUGAUUUCGUAUCCAUUUUUUAAGAUAGGAUGCAGAUUGAGAUCACUAGCUACUCCUUUUAAGGUUAUUUAUAUGUAAAGAUUUUAAAAUAUUAAACAAUAAAGAUAUUUAUAUAUCUGGGAGACAAUUAUUGAGGAAUAAAUGUAUAUCUAUGUAUGACUACUAUAAUGCAUAGGGAUGUCAAUGGGUACGGGUGGGCAUGGAUAGUGUAUACCCACCACCCGCUCCACAUGUAAAAAUUUAUGCUCAUAUCCGCUCCAUACCCACAUGGAUAUCCAUUAAGUGGGUUUUAACCGGAUUUUAAAAUAUCUGUGAUAUCCAUGGGCACCCGACACCCAUAAACAUAAAUAAAUUCACAUGUAUUUGUUUAAAAGAAAAUUAUAUUAAAAGUAAAAUUUAAGAUUAGACUUUACGGUCAAUCAAUGCAUGUGUGAAGGAAAAUACUUAUUUUCUACUUUUUUUUGUCUUAGGGCUUUCUUACACCAUUACCAUUGUAUAAGUUUACUUAAAGGAGAAUUAUAACUCAAACAAAUUCACAAGAUAUUAGACUUAAUAUACAUCUAUGUAUAUAUAAAAAGAUAUUUUAGUAUUUUAUAUAUCGGGUAGGUAUCCAUGGGUAUGGAUACAUUUAUAUCCGUACCCGCCCCACUAAUAAAUGGAUAGUGGAAAUAUCCAUGAAAUAAAUCUGUGGAUACCCGUGGGUGCGGGUAAUUUUACCCAUAGUGGAUUUUUAUCCGCAGGUAUUCACGAGUGUGGGUAGUCUUGACAUCCCUAAAAAUGCAUGAACAUUUGUGUUUGUGAUAAUCAUCUUUUGGAAAACUCAUUAUUAUAUUAUUUUCUCAUUUUAUAAUUUAUUAUUUGUUAGUAAUUCUUUUUAUAAUGUUAAUAUUUUGUGCUACACUUGUUUCCAAAA